UCAUCUUCUUGUUUCUUUAAGAUUCACCUGACCCACAAACAUUUUCAAUCCGCACACUCCAAUUUCUGAAGGUAAUUUCUUCAAUCCCAUUCAAUUUGCUUUCAUUCAAUUACUUUUCAAUUGCAGAAAUUUUAUGACCGGAUGAAAUCAAUACCAACAACAUCUGUCAAUACUUCAUUGCUGCUUACAAAAGCUCAAGACUCCAACUAAAUUCAGUAACUUCAUUCACUCUCUCUUUUGUCUUUUUCAUAUGAACAACCAAGCGAUCUUUUCCUUUUGUUACAGAAAAUCUCAAACAAAAGACAGCAACACUCAAGAAGAAAGGUUCAAGUAACCAAGGGCAGUAGAGAAGAGCAAAGCAAGCACUGAAUAUCUACUUCGAAGUGGGCUUUAUUUUGCUAAAAUCUAUCUUGAGUUAUAUAAGCUCUGAUAUUUCAUGAAAAUAUCUGUUUAUCUAAUAUAAAUGUUUUUAUGUGCGUUAUGUAUUGUUUAAUGCUCGUAUAAGCAUCGAUCGAGAUUCUCAUUUGGCUUAACACGUUAGAUGAGGAUUGUGUACACAAGGAUAGUAGCUCGGUGGGUUGAUCACCAUCGUGCACUAACAAAGCUAAGCAGGCGUUAUAAGGGUGCUCCUGGACACGUUCCAAAGCACAAAUGAUGAUAUGUUCCAUCUGGGUAGCGUCCCGGGUUCACUUAAGCGGCGGUAAACGAUCCGACGGUGGCUAAAGGCCCGGGAUUAUAAGCAGCGAGUAACAAUCGAACGUCGCAUGGCGCGCCACUUAAUAAGAAAAAGUUUUAUCAUACUUAGAAGUGGAUUUCUGUUUUUAAACCUUAUGAGUUAUGAUUGUGAUAUUGGAUAAACUGCUUUGAUUAUUUCAUAAAAUAUUUUAGAAA